GAUGAACGCUAGCGGCAGGCUUAAUACAUGCAAGUCGAGGGGCAGCAGGGGUGUAGCAAUACACUCGCUGGCGACCGGCAAACGGGUGCGGAACACGUACGCAACCUACCCAUAACUGAUGAAUAGCCCUCCGAAAGGAGGAUUAAUACAUCGUAACCUCUUUGAGUGGCAUCACUUAAAGAGUAUAGCUCCGGCGGUUUUGGAUGGGCGUGCGCCUGAUUAGGAGUUGGUGCGGGUAACGGCCCACCAAGCCUUCGAUCAGUAACUGGUGUGAGAGCACGACCAGUCACACGGGCACUGAGACACGGGCCCGACUCCUACGGGAGGCAGCAGUAAGGAAUAUUGGUCAAUGGACGCAAGCCUGAACCG
rnacentral:rRNA from 1 species